UGUGCUUGCGGAGACAGAUCAAGAAGGCAAGCAAUCCAACUCAAUUAGAAUUAUACCUUAAAACAAACACAUGUUGUGUGUGAAGCUGAGUGGAGAACAAUUAAAAUCCUGACUGUUCCUGUUCUUGGAAUGUGUGCCGUUCACCUGUCUUCAGUCCGAGAACAAGGUAAUAGGGAAGAAAGCAAAUGAGCCACAGGGUUACAGGCCUAACAGAGCAAGGAUAGUGGGUCAGUGAAGACCAAACCCAAAGAAACGGUCAUCUUGCACAACCUGUUCACACCUGUCUCUCAGUAGACAGACCCAGGUCAGAAUGGGACAGAAGACUGAGCUACCUUGUCACCCACAGUGGCAGGAUCACGUGAAGAAGCUUCUCCUUCCUCUGCCUGUGCACUGUCUUCUGGAGCACAAUGUCUCUAAAAUAAAACCAGGUGCUUACACAAAGCUUAGCCUGUUCUCAUUGGAUUUGCAUAAUCAAGGGAUUGCAGUUUCCUGUAAGAUAUCCAGCACUCCUGAUCUCAGAUGGGAAAUAAUCCAUCUCUCUCUCAGCUGAACAUUUCAGAGCCUCAAAUCAGGUUUGGUUUAAGUAGAGGUGAAAACUGGAGUUGGAUGGUUUCUUAUUUUAUCCUUGUGACGUUAUGAGUGUGAUAUAAUAUCUCAUUGAAAGAUGACAGGGCCAGAAAGAGUUAAUUAAUUCACCGACUGACCCGACCCAUGGGUGAACUUUAGAGACUGGCUAGGAAGUUAAGUAAAUGAAUAGAGCUUUGAAAUGUAAGUCUGCAUUGUUAGAGA